rnacentral:misc_RNA from 1 species
AAAAAAAAAUAAAAAAAUAAAAACAUCAGAGCAGAAAGAAAGAUUUUGAGUGAGAAAGAACCAUGAGGCCACCUGCAGCUGCUGCAAUCAACUCCACUGCUAGUGCAGCUCGUGCGUACGGCAGCGGAUUAGAGCACUGGAAGUCUCCGAUCCCUUACCUAUUUGGAGGGUUUGCUGUGAUGUUUGGACUCGUCGCCAUGGCAUUGAUUAUUCUAGUUUGCUAUUAUGAAACUUCACCAUCCAAUUCACCUCCUGAUGAUGUUGAUGAGGCUCAAAAAAAAUCUCAUCUCAGUAUGCGGCCCUUGGAGAUGGAGCCAAAGAUUG